UUUUGCCAUAUUUGCCAGGCUGGUCUCGACCUCCUAACCUUAGCCUCAGCCUCCCAAAGUGCUGGGAUUACAGGCAUGAGCCACCACGCCUGGCCAAAAUUAAAAUUUUUGUGCUUCGAAGGACACCAUCAAAAAUGUGAAAAGACAACCAACAUGGUUAAAUAUCACCAGUUUCUUUACCUGAUGCUGCUUUGUCAUGCAGCUUGGUCUCAGAUGAUUCUUAGAUGGUCCCAAUGAACAUAUUCCAGUGUUUUCAUUGGAAAGAAGAGACUCUAGAUGAAGCGGGGAUACAAGCAAAAUUUAAAGGCAAUUUUCUAGCCAUAAUGAGAGAUAUGUGUUUAAAAUUCAGGAUACUGAGUUCUAGAGGGUUCUAGCCACAUUGGGUGAGGGCCAUGCUUACUCUACACUCCCACGAAGUAUACUUAGCUUUAGGCUCCUUUUACCUGAAAUAUGUAGGCCCAGGUGACCUCUUCUCUCAGGUAACUGUUUCUCAAAACCAUGUCCUCAGAACACCUGGAUUAGAAUCACCUGGGGUCCUCUUAGAAAUGCUGAUUCAUGAGUCUCACCUUAGUCCUAUGAAAUCAACAGCUUUUGUGGUAGGGACAGCGGAAGCUACUUUAUUUUUUCUUGAGACAGAGGCUCGCUCUGUCCCCCAGGCUGGCGUGCAGUGGCGAGAUCUCGG
rnacentral:lncRNA from 10 species